GAUGAAGAACGCAGCGAAAUGCGAUAAGUAAUGUGAAUUGCAGAUUUCCAGUGAAUCAUCGAAUCUUUGAACGCACAUUGCGCCCCUUGGUAUUCCGAGGGGCAUGCCUGUUCGAGCGUCAUUAUAACCCCUCAAGCUCAGCUUGGUGUUGGGGCCUGCUGCACUGGCAGCCCUUAAAAUCAGUGGCGGCGCCAUCUGGCUCUAAGCGUAGUAAUUCUUCUCGCUAUGGAGUCCUGGUGGAUGCUUGCCAUCAACCCCCAAUUUUUCUAUGGUUGACCUCGGAUCAGGUAGGGAUACCCGCUGAACUUAAGCAUAUCAAUAAGCGGAGGA
rnacentral:misc_RNA from 1 species